AUUGAACGCUGGCGGCAGGCCUAACACAUGCAAGUCGAACGAGUCGCGGACGGGUGAAUAAUAUCUGGGAAACUGCCUGAUGGAGGGGGAUAUCUUCUGGAAACGGUAGCUAAUACCGCAUACUAUCAGAUGUGCACAGAUGGGAUUAGCUUGUUGGUGGGGUAACGGCUCACCAAGGCGACGAUCCCUAGCUGGUCUGAGAGGAUGAACAGCCACACUGGGACUGAGACACGGCCCAGACUCCUACGGGAGGCAGCAGUGGGGAAUAUUGCACAAUGGGCGAAAGCCUGAUGGAGCAACGCCGCGUGAAUGAAGAAGGCCUUCGGGUCGUAAAGUACUGUCAGCGGAGAGGCGGUACCUGAAGAAGAAGCACCGGCUAACUACGUGCCAGCAGCCGCGGUAAUUC
rnacentral:rRNA from 1 species